rnacentral:lncRNA from 1 species
UGGCGAGUCUAUCCGAGUUGGGAGCUCGGCUCUUUACUCUUUACUUGGGCUUUUAUACUUAUGGCCUGUGAUGUUUCUCAUACCCCUGGAUGUUUUCCGGGCUAUUUGCUGCCUCGACCUCUUUCUAGGCUAGAUGAGCCAGCUUAGCGUCAGCGAUCAUUUCUCAAUUUUAGUGCCUCUUGGUUAUAGUGUCCCGAACUCCUUCGGGAGGUCGGAAUUUGGCCUUUCUUUGGUAGCCUUUGGACUCAUCUUUCUUGUGAGGUCGGAACUGUAUUUUUAUGAAUUGUCUCUGCACAUGAUAUGGAGAAUUUUUGCUUAAAGAUGGUCUUAAGGCCUUCUCCAACUGUUUUUUACUUUGUUUUCCCGGGGGUUCUUAGGGGAUCCUGGUCUUCUUUGUAUUUCCGGGACGACCUCGGGGCCUCGCCGGCUGUUUUUUGCUUUGUUUUCCCGGGAGUUCUUAGGGGAUCCCGGUCUUCUUUGUAUUUCCGGGACGACCUCGGGGCCUCGCCGACUGUUUUUGCUCCAGGAGAUCUUACGGGAUCCUGGUCAUUUUUGUAUUUCCGGGAUGACCUCGGGGCCUCGCCGGUUGUUUUU